rnacentral:lncRNA from 1 species
AAAAACAAAAGCAGAAUGUACCUGCCUUUAUCUGCUAAAUAUAGUUGCAAAUGCUGCUUCGCUUUUGGGAGAGCUGUUAAAGAGAUUCUACUGGAAGAGUACUCAGGGGUCUAGUAUAUAUUUGAAUGUCUUAGAUAGAUUCAAAUUACUGAAAUAUUAUUAGGAAGAAAUACUAUUAGGAUUUGUGUAACCAUGUGAGAUUAACUUCCCAGGUACAGAAUGGAGUACAAAUGUUGCUGUUAAUGUCAGAAUCCAGAUAUGUGGAUGUGAUGGCUGACAUUGUGUCCAGUGUACUGUCACUACAUUUACAAGAUAUGAUAUUGUUCUGAAACUUAUAAAUGGCUUAAAUACACUACAAAUUAAGAAUAAAACCUAUCUAAAGAGACAGUGCUAUUGAAAUGGAAAAUAACAGAUACAGGAAUGAUAUUCAUGAAGGAGUGUUUCAGGGGGUUAACUUAUUUAAUAUGUUCAUUAAUGACACUGGCACAGAAGAUAUGUGCGAAAAACAAAGUGAUAGAUGUUUGUGCAGGCAAGAGCUGAGCUUUUUUUUAAAAAAUACCUUACUGCUGUGACCUUGAAGCAUGUAGUAAUACAGAAUGGUCUGGAGGUCUGUAAAAAGAUGAAAAUAACUAGAAUUUCUGCUACAAAUGACACCUUGACUGUUAAUAUGACGAGCUGGAGGUUCUUGCAGAUCUGAUGUAUUUCUAGUAAAGAAGGGAUUCAGCACGUGAACACUGGAAUCUAGUCUGAACUUCAGAAGAGCACUGUCCUGCUCCAGACUGAAGACAUGAAAAAUGGGAUUGGUCCCUGGCUGAAGUCUGAACUAUCGUGUAUGAGAAAUUAUCGGACAUUCCUAAGUAUUCCAAAGUAACUUCUAAAUGUUAAAAUAUAUUCUUUCCAAUCAUUUACAUAGAAUUCCUAUUUUUCAGGGAUGGGAGGGGGGACAUAGUUGGUGAAAUUAGUUUAAGAAGUGGUCCUGGUAAAGCCCCUCAUAAUUUGUGCUUAUAAAUAGUGUAUGCAAGGUACAGUGUAAUAGUAACAGAAAAGAAAUUCUACAGUUAGAGCUGCAUCCUAAAUGUACUUUAACCUAGUAUGAAUUACAGAGACCCAAAAUACGAUUUCUUUUAUGGACCUAUCGAUCUUCAACACUGUAGAAACACUGUCUAUUAGAAGAAACAGGCUGAAGUGAUGCUAUUAGAUAGUGCAUGGGAAUGUUUAACUCCC